GCCCAAGAGAUCGGGAUAACACCUGGAAACAGAUGCUAAUACCGGAUAACAACAGAUGAUGCCUAUCAACUAUUUAAAAGAUGGUUCUGCUAUCACUCUUGGAUGGACCUGCGGUGCAUUAGCUAGUUGGUAGGGUAACGGCCUACCAAGGCGAUGAUGCAUAGCCGAGUUGAGAGACUGAUCGGCCACAUUGGGACUGAGACACGGCCCAAACUCCUACGGGAGGCAGCAGCA
rnacentral:rRNA from 1 species